AAUGAACGCUGGCGGCGUGCCUUACACAUGCAAGUCGAACGGUAACACGCCUUCGUGUGCUGACGGAUGUCGAACGGGGAAGUAAUGCAUCCGAACGUGCCCCGUAGCUGGGGGUAACGCAGCGCAAGCUGUGCUAAUACCUCAUGUCAGCUGAUAUUGAAAACGGGGGACCACGCAGCAAUGAUUCGCCUCGCGCUUUUGUAACGGCCGAUGUCGGAUUAGGUAGGUGGUGAGGUAAAGGCCCACCAAGCCGACGCUCUGUAGCAGUUCUGACCGGACGACCAGACACACUGGAACUGAGACACGGUCCAGACUCCUACGGGAGGCAGCAGUGGGGAAUCUUGCGCAAUGGGCGAAAGCCUGAUCGAGCAAUGCCGCGUGAGGGAAGAAGGACUUCGGAUCGUAAACCGCUGUUGUACGGAACGAAAAGAAGCUGGCUUAUCCGUGCGGAUGAUGACGGUACCGUAAGAAUAAGCAACGGCUAACUACGUG
rnacentral:rRNA from 1 species